rnacentral:rRNA from 1 species
AGCAGCCGCGGUAAUUCCAGCUCCAAUAGCGUAUAUUAAAGUUGUUGCAGUUAAAAAGCUCGUAGUUGAAUUUCGGGGUUAGCAGGUUGGUCGUGCCAAUGGUAUGCACUGGCCUUGCUGAUUCCUCCCUCUUGUAGAACCGUAAUGCCAUUAAGUUGGUGUUGCGGGGAAACAGGACUGUUACUUUGAAAAAUUAGAGUGUUUAAAGCAGGCUAACGCUUGAAUACAUUAGCAUGGAAUAAUGAAAUAGGACGAUCGAUCCUAUUUUGUUGGUUUCUAGGAUUGACGUAAUGAUUAAUAGGGAUAGUUGGGGGCAUUAGUAUUCAAUUGUCAGAGGUGAAAUUCUUGGAUUUAUCGAAGACUAACUACUGCGAAAGCAUUUGCCAAGGAUGUUUUCAUUAAUCAAGAACGAAAAGUUAGGGGAUCGAAGACGAUCAGAUACCGUCGUAG